AAACAAUACGCUGUGGUUUUAAUAUAUCGUCACAUAAAUUUUAAAUAGAUUUAAGAUUACUUUUUUUAUGUAUAAUAACGAGCUUUUAAAUUUAAUACUUCAAAAUCAUAAAACAGGUUAAUUGUAGGAUACGACCUAGCUGGCUUGUGCGAAAUUAUUUUUAUCAACCCACGCGCGUUUAUGCCCACGAGAUGAGUGUUGUAUGUUCCGUCCCAGAUUUCUAUACCAUAUAACUAACAAAUUGAUGAUUGCACAAAUGAAAACUAAAUUAUUUUUAAUAACGGAAAACUCGGGAUUCGCCUUGAAUUUUAAAAAUAUAAAAAAAAGUGUGUGAAUUUAAAGAAUAUUAUGCUGUAUAUGAUUUAACCGAUUAAAUUUUUCACCAACCAUAACUACCAAAUACUUAGUUAUUAAUACUUAGUUAAAUCGACAUUUCAAAUAAGCAUGGAAAAUAUGAUAACAACAUUAUUUUUUUAUAUAACCGCAAACACUGUAAGAUAUAUGCUGAUAGUUUAUUUUGUUUACCGUUAAAAGUUCGCGUACAAUUUAUUUGAAAAUAUUACGUUUACUCGUACAGAGCGAUAGGCUUGACGGAAAAUAGGAAUUUCUAUCAUUUAUUUGUGAAGCUCUUAGUAAGUAUGUGGUCUUUUAAAAUCAAAACGUGAUAAUGACGGUUUCAAACAUAAGACCUAUACAAAAGGUAAUUUAACUUUCUAUAGAGUCGUCUGUUUCUUAACUUUUUCGAAAAAAAAAUAAUAAUAAUCCUACAAUAAUUAUAAUACUUUGCGAUGUAAUAAAUGUGUAUUUCGGUUCGUACAUAAAAAAUAUGAUUCGGGUGAAACCCCCCUCUCCCCUUCACAUAAAAUUUGAAAAACAGUUCUAAAGUCCAAUAUGACGUUCGAUUUCUAUUACUUAUGUAUUUUAAUUACAAUUAUAAUUGCAUAACAUGAUAACUUAUAAUGUUAUACGGUUAAUAAAAUUGUCGAUCACGCGUUGCAUAUGCGUACAACACAAGUAUAACGGAACGGACUUGGAAUACAUGCAUAAUAAUAAUUUAAAACCGAUACAGUAUAUUCAAAUAUUUACGUUACAAUAAAGUAUCAAUGCUGUACGAUUUCGUUGAUAAUUCGUUUUUAAUGAGAGCGUCGUAAAAACAUAAAACGAUUCGGCUGUUUCACUUUGAGAUUCGUAAACGACUUUGCGCGCCGCGCGCGCUCGCGCACACACGUCCGUGCAAAUAAUAAUUAUAAUAAUUAUCGUAUUGUUCGGAGAGCAGUUUAUCAGCUGCAGCAGCAGUUGUAAUGUAAUAUAUUUCUGGUUAUAUUAUUACUUAAUAGGGCGCGAUUUAUUGCACCGGAGUUAGUUUGUGCGGCGAACAUUUAUGAUUUAUACCAUUAUAAUAGGCAGCAGGAGGAUGCGCAUAGCGGCAAACGCCGACGGUAGGUAAGGUAUGCCGUGUAAUUGUUACCUCGGAGAGUUUGGAAGUCAAUCGCCGGCGUUUCUUUUUAACGGGUCGUAGAUAUGUAUGUAAAAUAUUUCGACGAGUGUCGGUGACUCGAAACUAUUCGGAUUUACAUUUUUUGUAAAUAAAACGACGUCGUUAUCCCGAGGUAAACCGCGAAGCGAAUGCUAAACCCAACGCGUGUUUUUCUCACGCGAUCUAGAGUCUAAAUAACUAAUAAUGAUAAUUCACAAAAAACCGACGUCAAUAGUGUUAAGAUUUUUUAGACGUUAUCUAGAAUUUGUUUUUUUUUCCCGAGGUUGAAGUCUGGAAUUUGCGUGAAGUUUAGACUCGGUCCUCUGCGUUUUGAAACGGACUGCUGAUUACAGAAUCAGAUUCGCUUGUAAAACGGUGUCGAUCACUUUUUUCUUCUUUUUAAGAACACGCGAGUGCCGAUGUGAAAUCAAGUAAACGCAUCCUACUCGAGUGAACUUCCAUAGUUCCGCGUGCUCCUCUUAAGUGUAUACCCAUGUAAGAGAACUCUAUCCGGCUCGAUUUAUUGUCGUUUUGUUCAUAAUAUACGUCUUAACGUACUUAUGGUUUAGUAAACAAUAGCAUAAAAAAAAAAAAAUGUGUUUGAAUUAUUCAGACGUUUUUAUACGCCAGUUUAAAAAUUGUUAUAAUCGUAUUAUCUGUCCGUGUUAAAAUAUUAUUAAUCUUUUUCGUUUAAUUAAUUUUCUUUCGUCAAAAUCGCCAGACGCACGCUGUGCAUUUUGUCGUUUGAAAACUUUACCGACUAUAAUCGCGGAGAUUAUGUAAUAUGCGACACAAACCUUUAAUUUCCGACUAGAUUUCUGAACGGGUUUUUUUUUUUUUUUUUUUUUUCAUUGUAUUUUACAUUGUAUUAUUCGUGCCUCGCGCGAUUUAUCUCCGCGCAUACGGUUCGAUAAUCAUCUCUCGUUCGCGGUUAUUAAACCUACUCGAAUGUCUGUUAUAUACUGUAUCAAUAAUUAAAUAAAAAGUUAAGUUUUUUAUUAUUUUUAUUUAUUACGAUGACGACGUUCGAAUAAUCGGUAUUUUUAUGUUAUAAUAAUAUAAUGGAUAUGUUUUAAACGAACGAAUUAUGACGUAUGCGCGUGACAUUGUAAUUAUUAGUAUACGAUUAUUUUCUGUUAUGUAAACACAUAAAAAAAAAAAAGUAGUAUUCAUGGUCGCGUAUUUAUUAUAAUGAACUCUACGGUUUUUUUUUUUUUUCAAAAAAAAAUCUAUAUUUUCUUAGUAUAAUAUUAUUGUCGUUCUUAGUAUAAUACUAUAAUUAUCGUUUGUCGUUGCCGUCGAUAAUUUGUACUCGUACAAUACAUUUUACUUCACGUCUUAUUAUACACUGUCUAUCGAAUGACGACUCCUGCUAUUAUACUCGUUUAAAUGCAUCGCACUCAAUCAAAGUACCUAUACUGAAUAUGCGUUUGACACGACUUAGCGCGCGGAACGGCACCAUUGCACGUAACAAUCAUUAACGAUUUCGACAGUAAUAGGUUUGUUUUUUUUUUUUUUUUAUCGUUAUUCGAAUUGAUUACUAUUUUUUCUGUAUUUAAUACGUCUAUAUAGACCGCAACAGUGUUUCCCAACCUUUUCGCCCGACAUUUUAGACUGUUUUACAACGCUUUUUAUAUUUUUUCUAAAUAUAGACGACUUAAGACUACCAGAAAAAAAACUCGCUUCGGCCGUCAUCAGUAAAUUUUAGCGUCUUUUAUGAACGGUGUAAUGUCGUCUGGUCGGCAUUUCGAGGAAGUACUUUUGUUUAAUUUUCCUUGUAGUUAUCGCAAUAAUCGGGGAUAAUGUACGCAAUAACGGUUUCUUUUUUGUUUUCGAUUUUUUUAUUUUCCCUGUGAUUCGGUUAACAAUAAUCGUAAAGACCGAGAUUUUCACGGAAUACUUCUAUUAGCCCUUCGUGGACGCGAUAAAUAUUAAAACUACCGAAAGCACUUAUACAUAAAAACCGAACGGAGAUUACUAUUAUAUACUUAGCGUAUUAUUUGUAUCAAUUCGCACGUCAUAAAGUAAUUUAAUCGAAUAUAAACGCAAUGUCUCUAAGAGCGUUUAUACCGACGAAAAUAAAUAACUCGUUUUGGAUUUUGUUGAAAUCGAUUUACGUGAUGUGUUGAAACCAAAUAAUAAUAUAAUAUACAAUUAUAACGGAUAGUUCAUAGGAUCCGUUGCAAUUUAAUUGGCCAAUUUAAUUUAUUAGAUUCUCGUGAAGCACGUUCCGUAUAGCGGCAAUCUAUACACAGUGUAAGUUUACGGUCGCACGAGUGUAAUAUCAUUAAUAAGUGACUUACAAUUAUUAUUAUUAUUUUAUAGAGUAUGCGCUGUGCAAAUAUUAUA